rnacentral:rRNA from 1 species
GACGAACGCUGGCGGCGUGCCUAAUACAUGCAAGUAGAACGCUGAAGGAGGAGCUUGCUUCUCUGGAUGAGUUGCGAACGGGUGAGUAACGCGUAGGUAACCUGCCUGGUAGCGGGGGAUAACUAUUGGAAACGAUAGCUAAUACCGCAUAAUAGUAGAUGUCGCAUGACAUUUGCUUAAAAGGUGCAAUUGCAUCACUACCAGAUGGACCUGCGUUGUAUUAGCUAGUUGGUGAGGUAACGGCUCACCAAGGCAACGAUACAUAGCCGACCUGAGAGGGUGAUCGGCCACACUGGGACUGAGACACGGCCCAGACUCCUACGGGAGGCAGCAGUAGGGAAUCUUCGGCAAGGGACGGAAGUCUGACCGAGCAACGCCGCGUGAGUGAAGAAGGUUUUCGGAUCGUAAAGCUCUGUUGUAAGAGAAGAACGAGUGUGAGAGUGGAAAGUUCACACUGUGACGGUAUCUUACCAGAAAGGGACGGCUAACUACGUG